AGUGAACGCUGGCGGUAGGCCUAACACAUGCAAGUCGAACGGCAGCACAGUAAGAGCUUGCUCUUACGGGUGGCGAGUGGCGGACGGGUGAGGAAUACAUCGGAAUCUACUUUUUCGUGGGGGAUAACGUAGGGAAACUUACGCUAAUACCGCAUACGACCUACGGGUGAAAGCAGGGGAUCUUCGGACCUUGCGCGAUUGAAUGAGCCGAUGUCGGAUGAGCUAGUUGGCGGGGUAAAGGCCCACCAAGGCGACGAUCCGUAGCUGGUCUGAGAGGAUGAUCAGCCACACUGGAACUGAGACACGGUCCAGACUCCUACGGGAGGCAGCAGUGGGGAAUAUUGGACAAUGGGCGCAAGCCUGCUCCAGCCAUACCGCGUGGGUGAAGAAGGCCUUCGGGUUUUAAAGCCCUUUUGUUGGGAAAGAAAAGCAGCAGGUUAAUACCCCGCUGUUCUGACGGUACCCAAAGAAUAAGCACCGGCUAACUUCGUG
rnacentral:rRNA from 1 species